rfam:Colletotrichum fioriniae PJ7 Scaffold_32.1, whole genome shotgun sequence.
GGGCGCUUGGUCUAGGGGUAUGAUUUUCGCUUCGCACUUCCAACAGGAACGCGCCUUUGUGAAAGGUCGUGGGUUCAAUUCCCACAGUGUCCA